GGCGAACGGGUGAGUAACACGUGAGCAACCUGCCCUAGGCUUUGGGAUAACCCUCGGAAACGGGGGCUAAUACCGAAUAGGACCUGACAUCGCAUGAUUUGUGGUGGAAAGUUUUUCGGCCUGGGAUGGGCUCGCGGCCUAUCAGCUUGUUGGUGGGGUGAUGGCCUACCAAGGCGACGACGGGUAGCCGGCCUGAGAGGGCGACCGGCCACACUGGGACUGAGACACGGCCCAGACUCCUACGGGAGGCAGCAGUGGGGAAUAUUGCACAAUGGGCGGAAGCCUGAUGCAGCGACGCCGCGUGAGGGAUGACGGCCUUCGGGUUGUAAACCUCUUUCAGCAGGGACGAAGCGUAAGUGACGGUACCUGCAGAAGAAGCGCCGGCCAACUACGUGCCAGCAGCCGCGGUAAGACGUAGGGCGCGAGCGUUGUCCGGAUUUAUUGGGCGUAAAGAGCUCGUAGGCGGCUUGUCGCGUCGACUGUGAAAACCCGCAGCUCAACUGCGGGCCUGCAGUCGAUACGGGCAGGCUAGAGUUCGGUAGGGGAGACUGGAAUUCCUGGUGUAGCGGUGAAAUGCGCAGAUAUCAGGAGGAACACCGGUGGCGAAGGCGGGUCUCUGGGCCGAUACUGACGCUGAGGAGCGAAAGCGUGGGGAGCGAACAGGAUUAGAUACCCUGGUAGUCCACGCUGUAAACGUUGGGCGCUAGGUGUGGGGGGCCUCUCCGGUUCCCUGUGCCGCAGCUAACGCAUAAGCGCCCCG
rnacentral:rRNA from 1 species